rnacentral:piRNA from 1 species
UAGGAUGGGACCAGCAAGAUGUUGUGUUGU